rnacentral:rRNA from 2 species
UGGUGCUUGCACCUGAUUGAUUUUGGUCGCCAACGAGUGGCGGACGGGUGAGUAACACGUAGGUAACCUGCCCAGAAGCGGGGGACAACAUUUGGAAACAGAUGCUAAUACCGCAUAACAGCGUUGUUCGCAUGAACAACGCUUAAAAGAUGGCUUCUCGCUAUCACUUCUGGAUGGACCUGCGGUGCAUUAGCUUGUUGGUGGGGUAACGGCCUACCAAGGCGAUGAUGCAUAGCCGAGUUGAGAGACUGAUCGGCCACAAUGGGACUGAGACACGGCCCAUACUCCUACGGGAGGCAGCAGUAGGGAAUCUUCCACAAUGGGCGCAAGCCUGAUGGAGCAACACCGCGUGAGUGAAGAAGGGUUUCGGCUCGUAAAGCUCUGUUGUUAAAGAAGAACACGUAUGAGAGUAA